CCAUUUUGCCACCAACACUGGGCUGGUAACGCGUGGCCAGCCUGAAGGGCUGGGCUGCAGGCACAAGGGGCUUUGCCCUCCCGAGGCCUGCCCUGCUGAGCCCUCUGCCUCCGUGCACUGGCACAGACCGGGACCCGGCCACUGUCUCAGUGAAGCUGCAGCUCAGCCAGUGCCUAAGCAAAACUCCCGGGGAACCCCAGAGGCUCAGCUGGGAACACUGCAGAGGGCUGGGACACCACGCACAGCUGCACGCUGCAAACUUUGCAUUUGUGCUGCAGGAAGUGCACUGCAACACGCCUGCUCUCCAGAACACCCCCUGCCAGCCUUCGUGCUUCCCAGGCACAGCUCAGAAUAGGGCACACUGACAAAUAUUUAUAUACAAAUACAUGUAUGAAUACAGCUGCCAGUUUUGUGUCAGUGCUCCUGAAGGGCACUAAUUACACACAUGGCUCUAAGGUAAUCACAAAAUGCAUUAGAAGAGAUUCCACUCCGCUGACAGACUCCUCUGAAACGCGGCUGGCGGAUAAAAGGGCCGGAGGCAGAGCUACAGUGAGGCAGGAAAUCCCAUUUCCAUUUUUGAGAGGGGAGCAAAGUUCAGCCGUGCUGUUUUAGGUAGCACACAGCACUACCGCAGGUCAAACCGCUGUGAGACAAAGAUCUUGACAGGAAGCAUGGCUUAGCUGCAUGGAUGCACACUCUAAUUAAAGGUACAGAAAGGGUAUAAAGAAGCUGCAUUGUCUCAGAAGAGAACAGCAGGGUGGGCUGUCAGUCAGAGGUGGCUCCUCACCACCACUGGGAACCUCGUUCUGCCAACACGAACAAGCGAAGCAACUUUCUAAGAACGGAGAAGAACCAGCAAAAAAACUCAUGACAACACCAAAGGCUCCGUAUCCGAUGGGUCUGUCCGGCUCAAUGUCCAGUUGCUGCUGUGGAUGUUGUGAGUGCUGAUGAUGGUGCGCUUUGACUGCAGCAGCUGCUGCAGCCUGUACCUGAGCUGGGGCUGCUGCAG